rnacentral:piRNA from 1 species
UGAAAGAUGAUGGCCUGCAUGGUCCUUGAAA